ensembl:lncRNA
GUCCAAAGAGCAGAGUUGAGAGCGCGCUGGCUCCCCUGGAGCCACAGUAAAGACUUGUUAUCAUGCAAAGCAGGUGCAGCAAAGCCAUUUAAAGACUGUGGCGCUGUCUAGAGCCACAUUACCUACUAGUCCGUGUCGUGUCCCGUGUCCGGUCCCCCCCCCCCCCCCCCCCCGCAGACCACAAAGUCUGUUGUACCUUUCAACUCAUCCCUCUGGGCACAGAGGUUGCUGGCGUCAUGGUCCACAGUGGGUACAGGGGACCCACUGGGAUCCUACAAGCUCCUCGGUAAAACUCAGAGCAACCAAUGCUACCCGGCUUUAGAAAAGCAUUUGUUGGCAAAAUGGAUUUUCUAUCUGACUUCAUAAUGUCACGGAAGCGGCAAAUAUAAUUCCCCCCCCCCAUUUUUUUUUUUGCAAAUACAAUUUCUAAAUUAGGAAAGUCGCUAUGGCUUUGCUCUGCCCCUUUGGAGACACUUGCUUGAGCUCAGAAUGAUGCCAUGGCCAGCGUGCCAGGAGAAAAUGCUGUCUCCAUUGUCUCCAAAUGCAGCAGGGUUGUAAAGGUGUCCUUAAGAAAAAAUUCUUUCCUUGUUUUAGUCUUAGAGGGAUCAUGCGUGUUAAGUUCAAGCAGAACAUUCUAGAUAGGGAUGGAGGCAGAACCGUAUCAGUAAGUAGAAGCAAGCGACCGUGGAUGUCUGGUUUGGAUGGAGAGGCAGGAUUUUAUGCCGUUAGGUUAUGAGCUAGGAGCCAGCUCAGCGUAGCUGUUUUGGAUCUUUGAUCUCCAAACGUGCCUCAAAAGCUGGGCCUGGAAGCUGGGCGCUGGCAUCCCGGAGCACCCUGGUGGUGGUCACCAGCCCAGAGUAGAUUCCUGAUGGUUGGCCAAGUGCAAAGGGAGGUUUGUGAAACCCACUCACCUGACAUUCCUGAGUGUGCAGGUGAGAGACUGGCUGUGUGUUCACCGGGAAGCUUUCACCGCCAUCUCUUAAGUAAGGGCUGUGGGUCAUGAUCUAGGUUUCUAAAGACCAGUGGUUUUCCUUUCCAAUGAGACUUCAUUUGAACAAAGUAUCUUUCGUUUGUCACUUUUCCUCCUUUUUAAACUUAGAAAAAUAUUUGACACACACCAAAAGAAAUGUUUUAAAAUCAUCUUGGAUUUGUGUCCCAUUUCACUUUUGCUUUGUGACUUCUCCGUUUAACAAUAAAUGAUCUAAAAC